rnacentral:rRNA from 1 species
UGCAGAGGUCUCAAGCGUUGUUCGGAUUCAUUGGGCGUAAAGGGUGCGUAGGCGGGUUUGUAAGUCCGUGGUGAAAUCUCCAAGCUUAACUUGGAAACUGCCGUGGAUACUAUCAAUCUUGAAUAUCGUGGAGGUAAGCGGAAUAUGUCAUGUAGCGGUGAAAUGCUUAGAUAUGACAUAGAACACCAAUUGCGUAGGCAGCUUACUACACGAUCAUUGACGCUGAGGCACGAAAGCGUGGGGAGCAAACAGG